GCAGAUGUGGGGGGGGCUGCACCCUUUGGCUGUCCCCGCCGUGGGACUUCAUCCUCUGGCAAAAGCAGAUCAUCACUGGGAUGAGCCCCAACGCAGGCCAAGCUGGUGGCCAAGAGCACGACAGGGGGAUGUGGCAGUGUCCCAACCAGCUGUCCCUGUGCCCAGGUGGCUCUGGAUGUCAUUGAGGAGCUGUGCUGUGAGAUGGGGCUGCAGAAUCCAGAAGCUCUGGAGGAAUACAUCCUCUUCGUGGUGACCGACAGAGGUGAGGCGCUGGCAGGGACGGGACAGAGGGGACAGGACAAGCCAGGAUGGGACAGCCACGCGGGCGGUGUGGUGGCCAUACUCAGACUCCCGGGUGGCACAGGGCAGAGCGUGCGGCCACUGACCCGCCGGGAAUACGUGCUGGACGUGGCUGCCGAGACGGAGCUCCGGGACAGCAGCUACACCUUCUGGUGCCGCCGCGUGGUCUGGAGCCAACCCCUCAAGUUCGACAACGAGCUCUACGUCACCGUCCACUACAACCAGGUCGGGCCACCCCAUCAGCCUCCCCCAGGGCCACCUCCCUGUCUCCCUCAGAGCGUGCCUUGUCCCCAAGCCGUGUCCCUAUGCUCUGUCCCACUCCCAGGUGCUCCCUGACUACCUCAAGGGGCUGUUCACCGUCCUGCCGCCGGCGAGGCCGGGAGAGCAGCACUUCCCGCACGUGGCCAAGCUGGCGGCGCUCCAGCACCGAGCCAAGGACCGCCACCACCUCCCCACCGCGCGGGAGAUGCAGGACUACGUCCCUCCGCAGCUCUUCCGCCUGCUGAAGCCCCAGUCCUGGCUGCAGAUGGUGACCCAGCACGUGCAGCAAGCCCAGGCACUCAGCGCCCACCAGGCCAGGGCACAGUUCCUGGGUGAGGGGACAGCCAUGGGCACGGGGAGGUGACAUCCAGCAGGGAGAGGAUGCAGUGCUAAUGAGGAAAUAGUGCUAAUGAGGAUGCAAUGCUGCUGGGGAUGCGAUGCUGCCUGGAGGGUGAGGAUGAUGGGGAUGGGAUGGUGCUAGGACACGCAGCCCUUGUCCCUGCACAGAGGCUGGGGUGCUGCACAUGCAGGAUGGAUUGCAGGACAGGACAGGCUGCUUCCAGGCCCCACUUGGGACAAGCAUUUUUCCCCUUGGCUGCUCCUGGGUGCAGGCCACCCUGGGGACUGAGCAGACGGGGGUGGCAGUGGGCACUGAGACCCCGUCCUCCGCCCUGCAGGGCUGCUGAGCGCCUACCCCAUGUUUGGCUCGUCCUUCUUCUACAUCCAGAGCUGCAGCAACAACGCCAUCGUGUCGCCCUGUAUCCUGGCCGUCAACCAGAACGGCCUCAACUUCCUCAGCAAGGAGACCCACGUAGGUGUGGGGCCGUGUGGGACACGUGGAAUCGUGGAAUGGCUCGGGUUGGAACAAACCCGAAAGCUCAUCCAGGGGGGCCAUGGGCAGGGCCACCUUCCACUAGACCAGUUUGCUCUAAGCCCUGUCCAAACCAGGGUCCCCGCUUAGAGGGGUUCCCAGGGCACACGGGCCACCCCCCUGUCCCCCUCCCAGGAACUCAUGGCCAAGUUCUCGCUGAACGAGAUCCAGUCCACGCGGACACAGCGCCCGGCGGCCGGAUCCAGCUCUCCCUACGUGGAGAUCACCCUGGGAGACCUCCUGGCCCAGGGCAUCACCCAGCUGCAGCUGGAGCAGGGCCUGGAGCUGUGCCGCGUGGUGGCCGCGCACAUGGAGAGGCUGUUGGGUGCCCGGGAGAAGAGGCUGACGCUGCCACCCAGCGAGAUCACCCUGCUCUGAGCCCGCCAUGGCCCGGUCCCCCGGCAUGGGGGACAGAGGGUGCAGCGCCCAUGGGGUGUCCCCAGUCUGGCCAGUGGCUGCUGUCCCCCUGUCACCAACCCGCUGUUGUUCGGGGGUUUUAUACACGCCCAGGAGCCCGGCAUGACUCGGUGUCCGUGGUUUUGUGUCACGCUCGCUGCUGCAGGGGGCACGCUGCCCCUCGUGUCUGACUCCCCAUCGAUCACCAUGUGUUUCCUAUUCCCGUGCCUCAGUUUCCCCCACCGGUCUCUUUGCCCAUCCCCGUGCCUCAGUUUCCCCUGUAGCCCGCCCGUGCCUCAGUUUCCCCCACCGGUCUCUUUGCCCAUCCCGGUGCCUCAGUUUCCCCCACCGGUCUCUUUGCCCAUCCCGGUGCCUCCGUUUCCCCCACCGGUCUGUUUGCCCAUCCCGGUGCCUCCGUUUCCCCCACCGGUCUCUUUGCCCAUCCCGGUGCCUCAGUUUCCCCUCCAGCCCGCCCGUGCCUCAGUUUCC
rnacentral:lncRNA from 1 species